AGUGAACGCUGGCGGUAGGCCUAACACAUGCAAGUCGAACGGCAGCACAGGAGAGCUUGCUCUCUGGGUGGCGAGUGGCGGACGGGUGAGGAAUACAUCGGAAUCUACCUUUUCGUGGGGGAUAACGUAGGGAAACUUACGCUAAUACCGCAUACGACCUACGGGUGAAAGUGGGGGACCGCAAGGCCUCACGCGAUUAGAUGAGCCGAUGUCCGAUUAGCUAGUUGGCGGGGUAAUGGCCCACCAAGGCGACGAUCGGUAGCUGGUCUGCGAGGAUGAUCAGCCACACGGGACCUGAGCCACGGUCCAAACUCCUACGGGAGGCAGCAGGGGGGAAUAUUGGACAAUGGGCGCAAGCCUGAGCCAGCCAUACCGCGUGGGUGAAGAAGGCCUUCGGGUUGUAAAGCCCUUUUGUUGGGAAAGAAAUCCUAUCGGUUAAUAACCGGUGGGGAUGACGGUACCCAAAGAAUAAGCACCGGCUAACUUCGUGCCAGCCGCCGCCGUAACAC
rnacentral:rRNA from 1 species